CUAAUAUUCAACUACACAACAGAUGGUUGCCAGUUCUACAACUCCCUUUAGUACACCAAUCAUUCUUUAUAAUGGACCCUUAAAAUUCCUGUAACCAGCCAAGCCUGUCUUUGUAAUGUUCUAAAUCAUCCAGGUCAUGAAUGGGUCUUCCCAACCUCCAAGCUAGAGUUAUUCUGAAGUCUAGACAACGAUUGACCGGAC